AGAGGUAGUAUAUAAAUUACAAUUUGCUUACACCAAGUAAAAGGCCCAUAACCCCUUUGAA
rnacentral:tRNA from 2 species